UGGGGAAUAUUGGACAAUGGGCGAAAGCCUGAUCCAGCCAUGCCGCGUGAGUGACGAAGGCCUUAGGGUUGUAAAACUCUUUCGUCGGGGACGAUAAUGACGGUACCCGAAGAAGAAGCUCCGGCUAACUUCGUGCCAGCAGCCGCGGUAAUACGAAGGGAGCUAGCGUUGUUCGGAAUCACUGGGCGUAAAGUGCACGUAGGCGGAUAGUUAAGUCAGGGGUGAAAUCCUGGGGCUCAACCCCAGAACUGCCUUUGAUACUGGCUGUCUCGAGGUCGAGAGAGGUUGGUGGAAUUCCUAGUGUAGAGGUGAAAUUCGUAGAUAUUAGGAAGAACACCAGUGGCGAAGGCGGCCAACUGGCUCGAUACUGACGCUGAGGUGCGAAAGCGUGGGGAGCAAACAGGAUUAGAUACCCACGUAGUCCCUGAGCGGGCUGGCAAGGCGCAU
rnacentral:rRNA from 1 species